AAAUAAAUAUGGAAAAAUUGUCAUUAUUCAAAAAUGGAAUGGAAUUUUGGUGUUGUAGAAUGGAAUUGGUCUAAGUGUAAAACUAGAACUAACGCUAGAACUAAAAAAUAUCGGGUUUACCAAUAUUAGCUUAAAGGUGUUCGAAAUGAAUCCAUUACACCAGAAUUUGUUGCUUCAUGAACAAAAUGUUUCAUCAAAAGCACAUGCAGACUUGUAGUGUUUUGCACACCAGUUUUUAUAAACUAUGAUAUCUUCUGUUGCAACUUUUUUUUACAAUAAAAGCGUUUUUGGUACUAGAAGUUAUGAUAAGUUCAAUGAAUGUAUGGACAUCAUGAACUGGGUCAACUUUCCGUAAGCUUCUCUUAAUCACUCCAAAAUCUCUCUCAUAAAGCAAAAAAGAAUGUCCUCGCAACGGGUAAUACCUUUUGACCUUGACUCCUCCGAAUUAAAAAUAGAGUAUUGUUAUCAAAAUGAAUUAAUAAAAACUCAAAUUAAAUCAUUAA